AAGACUAUACUUUCAGGGAUCAUUUCUAUAGUUUGUUACUAGAGAAGUUUCUCUGAACGUGUAGAGCACUGUUAUA
ensembl:snoRNA U3 Small nucleolar RNA U3